CUUUUUUCCCCCCGAUGAAACAUAUCAAUGAAGCGGAGGAAAAGAAACCAACAGGGAUUGCCUCAGUAGCGGCGAGUGAAGCGGCAAGAGCUCAGAUUUGAAAUCGUGCUUUGCGGCACGAGUUGUAGAUUGCAGGUUGGAGUCUGUGUGGAAGGCGGUGUCCAAGUCCCUUGGAACAGGGCGCCCAGGAGGGUGAGAGCCCCGUGGGAUGCCGGCGGAAGCCAUUGAGGCCCUUCUGACGAGUCGAGUUGUUUGGGAAUGCAGCUCCAAGCGGGUGGUAAAUUCCAUCUAAGGCUAAAUACUGGCGAGAGACCGAUAGCGAACAAGUACUGUGAAGGAAAGAUGAAAAGCACUUUGAAAAGAGAGUGAAACAGCACGUGAAAUUGUUGAAAGGGAAGGGGUAUUGCGCCCGACAUGGGGAUUGCGCACCGCUGCCUCUCGUGGGCGGCGCUCUGGGCUUUCCCUGGGCCAGCAUCGGUUCUUGCUGCAGGAGAAGGGGUUCUGGAACGUGGCUCUUCGGAGUGUUAUAGCCAGGGCCAGAUGCUGCGUGCGGGGACCGAGGACUGCGGCCGUGUAGGUCACGGAUGCUGGCAGAACUGCGCAACACUGCCGGAAAAAAAAAUUAAAAAAAAAAAU
rnacentral:rRNA from 1 species